AGUGAACGCUGGCGGUAGGCCUAACACAUGCAAGUCGAACGGCAGCACAGUAAGAGCUUGCUCUUACGGGUGGCGAGUGGCGGACGGGCGAGGAAUACAUCGGAAUCUACUUUUUCGUGGGGGAUAACGUAGGGAAACUUACGCUAAUACCGCAUACGACCUACGGGUGAAAGCAGGGGAUCUUCGGACCUUGCGCGAUUGAAUGAGCCGAUGUCGGAUUAGCUAGUUGGCGGGGUAAAGGCCCACCAAGGCGACGAUCCGUAGCUGGUCUGAGAGGAUGAUCAGCCACACUGGAACUGAGACACGGUCAAGACUCCUACGGGAGGCAGCAGUGUGGAAUAGUGGACAAUGGGCGGAAGCAUGAUCCAGCCAUACCGCGUGGGUGAAGAAGGCCUUCGGGUUGUAAAGCCCUUUUGUUGGUAAAGAAAAGCAGCAGGUUAAUACCCCGCUGUUCUGACGGUACCCAAAGAAUAAGCACCGGCUAACUUCGUG
rnacentral:rRNA from 1 species